GGGGAGGUAUUUCAAAGGAAGGGAGCACAAAGAGAAAGCAAGCAUGUCUCCACAGGUAUUACACAAGAAAAACCGUGGGAUGAUGAGGCAUUGAGAUAAGAAAGCUAUACUGCAUCUAAAUUGCUUCCUAAUAGUGCCUCUCUCACCCAUGCCAUCUGAGUGAUUCAGAAGAUGAAAGCAGACAGACAAGACAGUCUCAGAGAUCCGGGAGUAUUUGAUCACUCAGUUUGGGAGCAGAUUUGUGGCCACAGUUUCAUCUUCUGGGACAGCCGGCUGGCCAGGAUUUCCAGCAUCGACACACAGUUGAGCUGUUGUGAGUUUGCCCGUGUGGAACAGCUCAGUUGUCGAGGGAUGUUGUGGUGCCACUUGAUGCCUCUCCUAGAGGCAUAGUUCCAGCAACACUGUUCUCCUGAUGUGUUGAUCCUCCAUUUUGGGGCAAACAAUCUGGUGCUGCUUAAGGGCAAGGCACUGACUGAGCAAGCAGAAGCUGAUCUGCACAGUUUAGUGGCACAUUGGCCUGGUUUUUUGAUAAUUCGGUUCAAUUUGAUCCCCCGCCAUUUUUUGUGUGGUGGUGGGGAUCCCCCAGCUUGGGCCUGGGCCCAUAAGAAGUUUAACUGGGAGUUGUGUUGCAUGGUCCAUGUGCUUGGUGGGGGUUGUUAUUUUGCAUGAGGGGAUAGUUUAUGGGGUGACUCAGUUAUACCGACAAGAUGGUGUUCACUUGUCAGACGUCGGCAAUGAUGUUUUCUUGGGGAAGUUGUGUCAGGGCCUAUACAAAGCUGUUUUUGACAGGUAGGGCAAGGGGGGGUAAAACAGAGGUUUAACCACCCCCUCUUGGUGGCAGGUGAGUGCAGUCAUGGGGAGGUUAGGAUACUUUGGUGUUCAACUGCAGGAACCCUUGGGGUGUGAAGGGUGGAGCAUGGAACAGUCCCUCAGGAUUUCGUGGCCCGGGCUGGCUGAGAAUGCACUGUUCUUGUGACCAAUUAAUAACGGGGUCACCUGUAAUUAGGAGCAUUGCUCCGGAUAGGCUAGUAUAAGUCCCAAAAAGAAAACAGAUCUCGAACACCAGCUGGAUUUAGUUCAUCAGUUUAUUUUUACACCCUAAGUAUUAGCUAAACUAUAGUCCAUUCACUCUCAUACACAUGCAUACUUACCAGCCCCAUUUAAAGGUGAUCAGUCUUUAAAACUGGGUGUUGGGAGAAGCUGGGGCCCCACGAUCUUUGGUGCUUCUCAGAGAAAACCUCUGUUGAUGCCUGACUUAAAAAGGGUUGCCUGCCUUUGAAGUUAUUUGCUGUUCUAUAUUGGCAUUCGUCCUUAUCUCUGGACUGAUCAUGGUCCUUGUUUGAGCAACUCCUUUCCUGCUGCCUUCAGCAUUUUAUUCAGUUUUCCCUGGUCAAACUGGGGUUAUCUGUAUCUUCUUCCCAAAAUUUAUCCUGUCUUCGGGGCUGGUAUGUCUUUUGCUCACUCAUGCAUUCUUUCAUGUACACACACACACACACACACACACACACACACACACACACACUUCCUUUUAUCUUUUGUUUUAGACAGAAGUAAAUCAUGCUAACAACCUUUUAAAUCAUGCUAACAACCCAUUCCCCUUAUCAACAUCAAUACUUCAUUCAGUUAUACACGUAGGCUAUGAAACUACAACAAUCACUUUAAUCAAAUAAUUAUACUAGCUAUAUUAUAUGUCACAUUUAGAUGGUUGCUUGGCUUACCCACUCAGAGCUUUUUGGCUUGAGGGGGGCAUGACAUGGGCUGCCACCUCCUUGGCACAGGAAACUGUGUGGCAUGCAGUUGGCUACCCAGCAGCUGGUGGCCUGAUCCUAGCCCGGAUGCUUCGCCCAAUCAGCUUUGGGGACUGACUGCUCUCAUUAGGAGGCUGGAGGCCCCUGUGAGCGGGUGGAGUUGCCCGCACUAAAUGUUUAUUACCUGAUGCUUCUCCCCCAAAUUUUGUAGUAAUAAAUGUAUGGCCCUAGUUUUACCCAUAUACAUGUGUCCUGUCUUCUUUGGGGUCCAGGGGCAAUUUGCUUUGGAGAAAUUUCAGUUCCAAUCCUACAUAUCUUCUCUUCCCCCAUGAAUCGACUCCCCUCUUUCUUUGCUAUCAACUGUUGCAUACAUCUUCUUUUUCCUGGCUCUUUAUUCUCUCAGUGGCCCAAAUGUUCUGAAUUUUGUUAAAACUUGGCAGCCUGAAUGGCUCUACAAUUAAAAAAAAAAAAAAACAUGUAUGCAAGUGUCAAUGAAAACAAUAGAUCAUAUUAUUUAUUUAGAGUGCAGAAUUUGAAUUACUGUUACAGGAAUAUUAGCAUAUCUAAACCUAGCUUUAUUCAUAGGUUGAAUGUAUAAGAACGCUGGAUUAUAUUCAUGCCAUGUUUUCUGACCUGCAAACCUAUUGGUUUAGGUAGUUAGUAUUUUUUAACUGUGUUAAAUGACAGCAAAUUUUGCUUGGCUAUAUCAAACUUAGUAUACGUCCAAGAUCUGAUCAUUUUGCCUCAUUCAGGUGAAACUUUUUAUACUGCCUGCUGGCAAUAUGGUUGAAAAUGUAAUUUUAGUGUUAAAGAAAUGUUUCCAGAUGGUCUACAUAUUUUAUCCCACCCCCACCAACCCUUCACAAGCAGAUGGUUGGGAAAACAUCUAGCCAGAGGUGGCAGUUUCUAAAUUACAGGAGCUGUGAAGGUGCCAGCAAGUGAUUCAUAUUAUCAGACUAACAGCUCUCCUUUUAGGGAAUUUGUACUUUGAACCUUUUUCAGGAUGUCACACAUCCCUAAGUUGCUAUUUCUCUGACCUCAUUAAGGCUAGGUAUUUUGGAAUACUUGACAUGGGAUUCAGACCGUUAAGAAAGACAGAAGAUUAGUUAGCUACCUAUUGAAACAAGCCAUUGCAUAGGUUUCCCAUUACAAAAAGCCAUGAAGGCUUCCUAAAGGUCAAAUUGUGAGUUUUACAUAUUUAUGUCUACUAAUAUGAUCACCCCGCAAUGCAUUGUACAACGGCUGCAAUGUGGAUCAAUUUGGGCAACUGGUUUUUGUUCUUCCUUCUAAAAUUAAUCUUCCAGUCAGCAAGUUGUAAGAUCUGCACUGAACUAGAUUAUAUAAUGAAAUCUAUCUCAUAAUAAUAAAUACUUGAGCUUUCAGCAAUCAACUUUUUCAUGAUUGCUAAUUUACCCGUAUUUGAAUCAUAUUUGCUGAGAUCAAUGGACAGCAUGUAUUCUGUCAUCUCUAAUCUAACAGUUCACAGGAACGGAAUAGAAGACAUGCUGUAUUUUCCCUAAUAACAGUAAUUGUUGACUAGUCAUUGGGCUAAUAUAAAUUCUUAAAGAGCCAGCGCUCAGAGUUGGAUUUUGUUCAGAAAUCUACACCAAUGUCAGAUCUAGGUUGGGUGUCCACACCUGAUUCUAGACUUAGAUGAUCUCCAACUCAAGGUCCUUGAGGUCAGCGGCUUCAGUUGGAAGCUGAACCCUGGGGAAAAAGGAAUCCAAAAGUACUGCUCAGCUGAAAGGAAAACUCUUACUAUUUGGCCAGGACCUGCCAGUCCAGACACUUCACAUUGCCUUGUCAGUUGUAUAUUCCUAAAUGAGCUCUGAGGCCUGAGCACUUUAGCAAUAAAUGGUAGUAUAUGGGCCAGGUUCCAUCCCAAGAUUCAGGUUCCCUUCCUGUACCCCAGUCUCUGAGAGUCCGAAUAACAUCUGGAUAACAGUGGUGCUGUUUUGUGAGAGAAAGAGCCAGUAACUAGGGCUGAUUGUUGAACAAUUGGAUCCAAUUCAAUACAGCCCCUAUCAGCAGCAUUUUGCAUUGUAUUGUUUCAAUGUAAAAUCUCUAAUAUCGACACUGUCUGAUACAAUAUUCUCCAUGUCGUAUUGGACUCUACUGAAUUCUGUAACACAUCUAUACUGUGUUAUGGUUUUUUGGUUUUUUUUUAAACUUUUAAAAAACUUGCUCUUUAAUAUUGAAAUUUAAUAUUUGUAUUGUUUUAAUUAUGUUAUGUAUUUGUCCUGUUUUAAAUAUAUUGUAAAACUCCUUGAAAUUAUUUUAAUGAGAGGUGGUAUCCAAUUCUGACAACAAAUAAACUUCAUCCGAUGAUUGAA